UACGAAGGGGGCUAGCGUUGUUCGGAUUUACUGGGCGUAAAGCGCACGUAGGCGGAUCGUUAAGUCGAGGGUGAAAUCCCAGAGCUCAACUCUGGAACUGCCCUUAAUACUGCCAGUCUAGAGUCCGGAAGAGGUAAGUGGAACUCCUAGUGUAGAGGUGGAAUUCGUAGAUAUUAGGAAGAACACCAGUGGCGAAGGCGGCUUACUGGUCCGGUACUGACGCUGAGGUGCGAAAGCGUGGGGAGCAAACAGG
rnacentral:rRNA from 1 species